rnacentral:lncRNA from 1 species
CACCUCCUUCUGUGGUUCACCUUUUUCUUUAUAAGCAGCUCAAGGAACUUUAAAGAUGAACUAGAGACCUAAAGAAAGUGCCCCCUGGGGCUCUCUGAGCAGUGGGACCAUCUCUCUUUUUCCUAGGAGGAAAAUCAAGGAGAGAGGAGAGUUAAGUUUCAGUCAUGGGAUGAAUGAGCCACGGUGCAGGUGGGUUGGGUGGAGAGGUCAAGGCAGAGAAAGCUGUUAGAGCUUGGUCUGUGUGUGUGUGUGUGUCUUAGGGUUUUCAUGCUUUCUGUGUGUUUGUUUCCGUUGUAAACUCCAGACAGAUGUCUCUAGUUUGGCCACAACUGAUUAGCUGGAUGUUGUAAAGAUGCUGCCAAAGCUGUGCCUUCUGCAAAUUAUUUUUUCCCUUUGCCCCUGUGGGCCCCUUUUCCUGCACUGCAGAAAUGGAUUGCACUCCUGGCCUUCCGUGGUGUCCUGAGGCCACUUUGCUUUGUUUUCAUCAUAAAUAUGGUCUAAGCAACUAGAUCCAGAGAUCCUAAGGAGUCUAGAAUUCACUGGAACCCUAGAGGAAGGGAGGGUGAAAGAUUUUCUUCCUCAAGAACAGGACUGGUUCAGGCAGAAGACUAUCUUUAGAAAAGAAAAGGGUGCAUGGGAAAUAAUUAAAAAUAUUCACAGUCACCUAAGGGCACUGGAGAAAGUCCGGGCCUUGUGUCUGUCAUAUUUUGGUUUGGUUGAGAGUCCCUCUCCCUGGCCCCGAAUGCCUCAGAUACACAUCAUGGAGUGACAUUUUAAAAUCCCAGGUAGAGAGAGUUGGGAAGGUCAAAUCCUACCACACCCAGACACCCACAUGGCAUGCCUUCCACACGGCUCUCACCUGACGGGCAGACAGCUGUGAGGGCCAUCACUAGCUUGCAUGACUGGGUUUCACAUUUCAAAUAAUUUCCACACGUUCCCAAGAUUCUCUGCUGUUUGAAACUGAUGGGGACGUUAAACAGGGUGACGAUCAAAUGGCUAAUACUUGGGGGUGAGGCAGGGUCUGCAUGUCUUCAUUCUUAUCCAAUCUGUGUGUCCAGUGGGAAUGCCAAGGUUGGCUUCCAUCUGGGACUGAUGGGGCCAUGGUGAUUGGUCAGAAAGCUCAGAGGAAUGCCAUUUAAACCAACACCAUCAAUAAGUAUAAGGCAACUAUCUCUUUAAGUCUGAUUUUUCCUGUUACCUGAUUUAGAAAUAGGGAAGGGGGGCCUUAGGGAAGGAAGGAGGAAGAAGAAAAUAAGC